rnacentral:rRNA from 1 species
UACGUAGGGCGCAAGCGUUAUCCGGAAUUAUUGGGCGUAAAGAGCUCGUAGGCGGUUUGUCGCGUCGGCCGUGAAAUCUCCACGCUUAACGUGGAGCGUGCGGUCGAUACGGGCAGACUUGAGUUCGGUAGGGGAGACUGGAAUUCCUGGUGUAGCGGUGAAAUGCGCAGAUAUCAGGAGGAACACCGGUGGCGAAGGCGGGUCUCUGGGCCGAUACUGACGCUGAGGCGCGAAAGCGUGGGGAGCAAACAGG